AUUUUCAAAAUGGAAGGAUUGUUCGAAAAUCCUUUCCAAAAAGGGCCUCGGGCUAGACACUUUUCUUCCUCUUCCUCUUUCUCUCUUUCCCUUCAACUAGUUUCGAACUCGUAACUAGGGUUUCUCUGUCCUCGUUCAUCUAUGACACAUAUUGCUCCGGAAAAUCAGUAUUAGAUAGAUAAAAGAGAAAAAGAGUGAGAGAAGAGUUAGAGAAAAGAUUGCAAUAACGGUGAAUGUGUUAGUUUUUAUAGAAAAGGAAGGUGACCAUUGGAAAUCUUUUUGGGAGGGGAUUUCUUUACUAUUCUAGCAUAUGGGGCUUUUGGAGGCAUAUAUUUUCUAUGACAAAAUUAACAUUUUACUACUCUUCUGUUAAAAAAUAAAUAAUGAGCUAACGAGAACAAACAAAUGGGCAAAUAUAAAUAUCACUAGAUAUUUGAAGGGAUAAAUCUGAAACUUGAUUUUUUUAUAAAUGUAUUUGCUAUUCGAUAUAUUUACAAGGAGAUGUAUGAAAUUAUCUCAUUUUAUAAUUAUAACGGUUAUUUUGGAUGUAGACUAAUUAUUAGAGGUAUUCGUGAUAUUAGUGAUUAUUUAAGAAAGCAUGUGUAAUAUUAUUAAAUUUAAGAAAAUAUUAAUGAUAUUAUUACAGUACUUAAAGGGGCAAUAAAUAAA
rnacentral:lncRNA from 1 species